CUUUGUUUUUCAAAAGAAUAUUUAAUGAUCAUUUUCAUUUGUAAAUCAUGUAGAAACACGCUGACAGUACAAAGUAAAACAAAAAUAUAUUUAUUAAUAAAUAAACAAGCAUGGUAUAAGUAUACAUUUUAGUUCAAGGGAGUAUUACUGAGUCUGCUGAGGCUUAUGAUCACUAUUUCCUGUAUUGGGUGUUAAUACAUCACCAAAAUGUUCCCUUUUUUUAUAUUUUUUUAUAUAUUUCAUUUAAAAAACAACAAUGUGAAAAGAAAAAAAAACAUUUAUAAUAAGACUGUACUAGAACUUCAGUACUUUAGACACAAUCAAAAUGAUAACAGUUUAAUAGUUGUAAUAGUUAUGUAUAUAU